rnacentral:rRNA from 1 species
GACGAACGCUGGCGGCGUGCCUAAUACAUGCCAGUAGGACGCAGUUGCGAACGGGUGAGUAACGCGUAGGUAACUGCCUAUUAAAGGGGGAUAACUAUUGGAAACGAUAGCUAAUACCGCAUCCUAAUAGAUGGACCUUCGUUGUAUUAGGUCUGAUGUAGGGUAAUGGCCUACCUAGGCGACGAUACAUAGCCGAGCGGAGAGGGUGAUCGUGCACACUGUGACUGGGACAAGGCCCAGACUCCUGCGGGAGGCAGUCGGAGGGAAGCUUCGGCAAUUGGGGGAAACCUGACUGAGGAAAGCCGGGGGAGUGAAGAAGGUUUUCGGAGCGUAAAGCUAUGUUGUUAAGGAAGCGGUACUUAACAAGAAAGGGACGGCUAACUACGUGCCAGCCGCCGCGGUAAUUC